AUCAAAUAUGUUUCCGUAAGGCCAGAUUCUUGGGCAAAGUUGUUUUAGCGAUCUGGUUGCAACUAAGUAUUGGAGUUGUUGUGCCUUGAAGCUAGAAACUGCCUUGAAUUUCUACAUAGGGAAAUGUAAUCUAUUGCUUUCUUACAGAUUGCCAUUUGCCAGCUGACCUGUGACACAGCAGCAGUGUAUUACAUUUUCAAUGAGCAGUCUGUCUGGAGCUGCUAGUGGGAGAAACUGCUUCCUGGUUUCUAGGUUCUUUGCUCUGGGGUAGUUUAAGAUAAAUAUGGUAUCUGCCUCUACAUCAGUAUUAAGGGGAGGCAGAUGAUGAAUAAAUGAACAAAAAAUAUAAUAAUGGAUAUGUAUUUAUAAGUGCUAUGAAGAGAAGAAAUCCAAGCAAGAAGAGAGUGAAAUGAGGGUCUCACUGGGUUUCCGAAGAACUGGAGUGUGGUGGUUCACUGCAGACUCAAUCUUCCCAGCUCAAGUGAUCUUCCCACUUCAGCCUCCCUUGUUGUUGGGACUACAGUCACGUGCCGCCACACUAGGCUAAUCCAGGCAAUAUUUUUUUUUGGUGAGGGGGUGGGAACAGAGUUUUGCCAUGUUGCCCAGGCUGGUCUCAAACUCCUGGGCUCAAGAUAUCUGCCUGCCUUGGCCUCCCACAGUGCUGGGAUUAUAGGUGUGAGCCACCCCUCCUGGCCCAGGGUUAUGUUCUUAAUUGAAAUAAUGAAGUAAAGAGAUUAGAGAUUGUGAUUUGAGAUUGUCUGCAUCUUAGAAAUUAUUAUGAAAUUUUGAUAUUGGGGAAAAUUUCUAAUUUGUGUAAGUCUGAUUUGAAAAUUUGAUUGAGUGUAUACCUUACUUUUUAAAAAAAAUAUGCUGUUUAAAUUUUAAGUUUAUGUCUGGGUUGCUUUAGCUACUCCCCAUAACUUUUGGUAGGUUAGGUUAUUACUGUCACUUAGUUAUUGUAUAUUUAACGUUCCUUGUGAUUUUCUCUUUGAUCCUUGGGUUACUUAGUAAGUUGUAUGCUUUUAAAAUUUCAAAUAUCUUCUUAUUGAUUUCUAAGUAAAUGCCAUGUGACCAGUAAACAUGUUCUAGAUGACUUUGAUCUCUUAAAAUAAAUAGAAUAGGCCAGGCACCGUGGCUCACGCCUGUAAUCCCAGCACUUUAGGAGGCUGAGACGUGCUGAUCAGAAGGUCAGGAGAUCAAGACCAUCCUGGCUAACACAGUGAAACGCCGUCUCUACUAAAAAUACAAAAAAUUAGCCGGGCGAGGUGGUGGGUACCUGUAGUCCCAGCUGCUCGGGAGGCUAAGGCAGGAGAAUGGCGUGAACCCCAGGGGACGGAGCCUGCCGUGAGCCGAGAUUGUGCCACUGCACUCCAACCUGGGCGACAGCGAGACUCCGUCUCAAAAAAAAAAAAAAAAAAUUAGCCAGGCCUGGUGUCAGGCGCCUGUAGUCCCAGCUACUCAGGAGGUUGAGGCAGGAGAAUGGCGUGACCCAGGAGGCAGAGCUUGCAGUGAGCUGAGAUCGAGCCACUGCACUCCAGCCUGGGCAACUGAGACUCUGUCUCAAAAUAAAUAAAUAAAUAAAAAAUAAAUAGAAUAUUGUUUUAUGGCCCAGCAUAUAAUCAAUAUUGGUCAGUGUUACAUGCAUACAUGAGGACUUUCUCUGCUGCUAUUUGGUUCAUUAUUCUCUAAACAUCCAUUAGAUCAACUUAUUAAUAGUAUUGUUCAAUUAUAUAUUCCUGAUGAUAUUUUAUCUACUUGUUAGUUUCCAACUAUAGUUGUGAAUUUUUCUAUUUUUAACUUUAUUUCUGCCAAUUUUUACUUUAAGUAGUUAGACACUUUGUUUUCGGUGUCACUGAUUUAACACUAUUGUUAUAAUUGUUAAUAUUUUAUUAUUAUUAUAAAUAUUGCUAUUAUUGUUAUUAGGUGCUAUUAGAUACUUACACCUAAAAACAAUGUAAUACAACCAUAUUAGAAAAUUUUGAAGAUAUUAAUGACUUGCUUAAAAAAUAGCAAUAGAAUAUCUGAAAUGACCAAAAUACUUUUUUAAAGAGGAUAAGCGUUCACAACAAAAGCAGGCAAUUUACUUAAAGUUCCUGUUAGUGCAGUUCAAAGUUUGUUUUGAUAAGCUUUAUUUUUUUAAUUCUCAAAAACUUGCACUUUAAGCUUAGAGUUAUAAAAUUAGGCUAAGAAGGUUAGAAUAGUCAGAAAUUCAAGAACAAAUACAAAUAAAAUACAUUGAAUGUUAAAAGAAAAGAAGAAUCCAGAGGUCUGCUAGUGUUACCCUAUAAGCAGCCAUAUGAGCAUACUCAAGUUAAAAAUAAUGUAGUAAUCUGAUCAAGAUCUCAAAAAAUAGAAUUUGACAGAUAGGUUUGGUCUCCAGAGCUAGUGAUCAUUUGUCAGAAGCAUGCCACACAAAUAAAGAUAGACUGCAGUAUUUUAGAGGAGAUUACACUUCAUCUUCCAGUUUUUAAAUGAUUUUGUUUUUACAUAAGGCAACAGACAAAGAACACUGAAUGAUCACUAGCAUUAAAUAAUAACCAAUGACCCACAUUACAUAUAUUGAUUAGCUAACCCUUUCUAGAUGUUGGUGUUCUUAAACUUGUCAAUAGCUCUUCACAAUUAAAAAUAACAUUGAGUGGGAAAGCACCAUUUAUCAUCUGUCUGGUCAAAGACAACCCAACUUAACUUAGUGGAUUAUAGAUUUGGAAUAGAUCAUUCAGGAAAAGAUCUGAAGAUAUUAAUGGGUAUUAAUUGGGGGGAAAGUUACUGUUAUAUUAUUUCACAAUACAGAAAUGUGUGCAAAUAAUAAAAGUGCAGCAGUAUUAAUUUUCCCAAAAUAAGACACCUGUGAAACUACUGCCUCAAUCAAUAAAUAUUACAUUACCAGCAUCAAGAAGCCUCUUCUUGCUUCUUCCUAGUCAUUAACCUUCAAGGUAACCACUAUUCUGAUCUCUAACAUCUUGGUAGAUAUAUUAAUAUCAUAUUAAAACAUGUCACUCAUGAAAUAAAAAUUACCACAUUGAUUUAAAGAUGCUCUGAUAAUUUCUAUAACAGCUAUCAUUUAAAAAUUACAAAUAUUAUAAGUGAAUUGCAAAUUAUAGUGUUGCCUUGUAGGUUUAAAGUAAAUUAUAGCUGUUCUUCAUAUUCUUCAUAGAGGAGUUUAUUUAAUUGAAUGAAAUUUUAAAAACUUAAUAUUUCCCAGUACCUGUGGUUUUCAAGUCUACUAGAUACUAAGGUAUCUGUCUUUAUGGAUUUGAUCAUUAUAUACAUAUGUAGAUAUAUUUUGUAAUUGACACCUAAUAAUUGUACAUAUUAUGAAACACAGGGUGACAUUUCAAUACAUAUAUACAAUGUAAGUAAGUAUCAUUUCAAGGCAAAAAGGGAACUCUUAUACACUGCUGGUGAAAAUAAAAAUUAGUACAGUCACUAUGUAAAACAGUAUGAAGACUCUCUAAAAACUAAAAAUAAAACUACCAUAUGAUCCAGAAAUCACUCUACUGUGUAUUUAUCCAAAGUAAAGGAAAUCAGUAUUUCAAAGAGUUAUGGACCCCCGUGUUUAUUGUAGCUCUAUUCACAAUAGCCGAGAUAUGAAAUCAACAUAAAUGUCUAUCAAAGGAUACAUGGAUAAAGCAAACGUUAUACACACAUACGCGCGUGCACACACACACACACACACACAGUUGAACACUAUUCAGCCCUGAAAAAGAAUAAAAUCCUGUAAUUCAUUGCAACAUGGAUGGAACCGGAGGACAUUAUGUAAGUGAAGUAUGAGAAGCACAGAAAGACACAAAUCACAAAUUCUCACUCAUGUGGGAGGCACAAAAGUUGUGCUCAUAGAAGUAGACUACUGGUUACUAGAGGCAGGGAAGGAGAAGGGAGAGGAUGGUUAUUGAAUACAAAAUUACAGCUAGAUAGAAGGGGUAAGUUCUAGUAUUCUACAGCACUGUAGGAUGACUAUCAUUAAUAAAAAUUUAUUAUAUGUUUUCAGACCGCUAGAAGAGAGGAUUUUGAAUGUUCCCAAAACAAAUAAAUAAUCAUUGCUAUUACUAUUUUUACUACAAAUUAGUGCAAUUAUCUUUAGUAAUAAUAUUAAGGAGUAACAAGGAGAAGAAUCAGAAGGUGAAAGAAGAGGAUGAAAGAUUUAUUUUAAAUAUUUUUCAUUUUGAAAAAGUAAUUUAUUUUCUUUGUAAUCCAAGAGUUUAUUUGAGAAAGGGUUCUAAAUAAUAUCAAAGGCAUUUAUAUUUAUUUUACUUUCAUAUGACUUUUGUAAUUUAUUUUAAAUUUUGCUCAACUUUAUGUAACUUCUCCCUUAUAAGUUUCUGAUAUAUGGAAGUAUUUGGAGACAUAGGACAAAGGUGUAAAACCAAAUAAAAGUUUAAAAUAGAUAUUAUGUACUGUGCUCAAACACAUACAUAACAGCAUUCAAACACACACACACCUGCAAUUUGAUUGUCUUAGUUAGACAUCCCCUUUUAUCCUUCAUAUUCUGCUUGCUAUUUAGUAUUGAAAGACUCAGGGAAGUCUCUACACUUAAAAGAUCUUGAUUUUUAAUGACAGGAGAGAGUAAAUAAGAAUAUGGAAAUGGGAAGAUAAUCAUAUUUGGGUGACUUCUAUCUCUACAUUUAUAUUCCUUCUGAGUAAUGAGAUAACUUCCUCAUGUCAAAGUUUUAUGUCCUUAUAGAUACAAUUUUUAAAUAUUAUUUUUGUAAAUUUUUAUCAUUAUUAUGCUCUUUCUCAUGCACUAACUCACUUGAUUCUCCUAAAAAAACUUGAAUUGAUUGGUAUAUUUUCCAAAUUUUGCAGAUUAAAAAAGUAAGACUCAAAAACUUAAGUAAAUUUCCUGAAAUUAUAUGUCUAAUGACUAUGGUUGGAGCUGGAUCGCAAAGCCAGAUCUGGCCUCAUUUUGCAAACAUAUUCUACACAGAAUAAAAAUUGUAGAUAACCAUUGUGUUUAGAAUUCACAAAGUCAACAAUUUCUGGUUUCUGCCUAUCAAAAUUCGAAGAAAUUCCAGUUUUUUUAGAGUCUCUCCCAAUCCUGAUAUGUCCACAAAUCUGGAACUAUAAUUUUGUUGAGAAUAUUUUCCAUGAAAAUUGCAUACAUAAUACAGUGAUUAAAAAUUAAUUUACUAAAUGUUUUCCAUUAAUGAAUUCAGUUCAUUGGAAAGUGCAAACACGAAUGACACAGGCAAUUUUUCUAUUAUCUUUAUAUUGUAUUAUUUAUUCACCAUGGCCGUAUUUUCAUGAUAUUUAGAAUUCUUACGUUGAGUUGACAGAGAGUACUAAGAGAUUCAGCUAACUUAACCCUUGCCUUUUUAUAAGUUAUAGACAUAUUGUUAUCAAUAUAUGAUCAAACAGAAUAUAGAGGGGCAUAUAAGUGACAAACCAAGGAUUAUAUAAUCAUUUACCCUAUGCAAUAUAACUAUCUGACAUACACAUGUACAUACACAUAAAAUAUACAUAGUUAUAUGUUUAAUAUACACAAUUUCCACUUAAUCUUUGGAAAACUGAAAGCUAGCUCUUUGCUAUUUCAACUUCUUACUUUCUUUACUUGAAAACUUGAAGUUUUAUUCCCUUUGGAAAAUUAAUUAAAGAAAAAUAACUUAAAAACCCACUUAAGUUGUCUCUAUUUUAUUGUUAGUUGGAUUCAGAAAAUAAUAUAUUGAAAACCACCAUUGUUUUACUGUAUAUUUUCUCUUAUGAAAAGUAAUAUAUAUUUAAGUUUAUUUUUAGUUUAUCUCUUUUAUACGUAAGUUACACUUUUUUAAAAAUUUUAUUUAUUUUUAAUUUUUAAAUUUUUAAAUUUUUAAAAUUUUAACAUUGUUUUAAUUUUUAUGGGUACAUAGUAGGUAUAUAUGUUUAUGGGUUAUAUGUGAUAUUAUGAUACAGGCAUACAAUACAUAAUAAUCACAUCAGGGUAAAUGGGGUACCCAUCGCCUCAAGCAUUUAUCAUUUCUUGUUGUUGCAAACAUUCUAAUUAUACUAUUUUAGUUAUUUUAAAAUGUAUAAUAAAUUAUUGUUGACUGUAAUCACUCUGCUGUGCUAUCAAAUACUAAAUCUUAUUUAUUCUACCUUUUUGUACGCAUUAACCAUCCCCUUGUUACCCACUACCCUUCCCAGUCUCUAGUAAUCAUUAUUCUACUCUCUUUCUCCAUGAGUUUAAUUAUUUUAAUUUUUAGCUAUCACAAAUAAGUGAGAACAUGCAAAGUUUGUCUUUGUGUGACUGGCUUAUUUCAAUUAACAUAACAACCUCCAGUUCCAUCCAUGUUGCAAAUGAUAGGCUCUCGUUUUAUUAAUGGCUGAAUAGCACACCAUUGUGUAUACGUAUCAUAUUUUCUUUUUCCAUUCGUCUGUUGAUGGACACUUAGGUUGCUUUCAAAUCUUGGCUAUUGUGAAUAGCAUUGCAAUUAACAUGGAAGUGCAGAUGUCUCUUUGAUAUACUGAUUUUCUAUCAUUGGGCUAUAUACCUAGCAGUGGGAUUGCUAGAUCUUAUGGUAGUUCUAUUUUUCAUUUUUUGAGGAUUCUCCAUACUGUUCUCCGUAGUGACUGUACUAAUUGACAUUCCCACCAACUAUGUACGGGGGUUUCCUUUUCUCCACAUCUUCACUAGCAUUUGUUAUUGACUAUCUUUUAAAUAUAAGCAACUUUAACUGGGUUAACAUGAUAUCUCAUUGUAGUUUUGAUUUGCAUUUAUCUGAUGGCCAGUUAUGUUGAACAUGUUUUCAUUUGCCUGUUUGCCAUUUGUAUGUCUUCUUUUGAGAAAUGUCUAUUCAGAUCUUUUGCCCAUUUUUUAAUCAAAUUAUUAGAUUGCUUCCUAUUGAAUUGUUUGAGUUCCUUAUAUAUUCUGGUGUUUAAUCCCUUGUCAGAAGAAUAUAUUGUAAAUAUUUUCUCCCAUUCUGUAGUUUCUCUCUUUCUUUGUUGAUUGUUUCCCUUGCUGUACAGAAGCUUUUUAACUUGAUAUUAUUCCAUUUGUCCUUUUUUGCUUUGGUUGUCUGUGCUUGAGGGAUAUUACUCAAGAAAUCUUUGCCCAGAACAAUGUCUGGAAAAGUUUCCCCAAUGUUUUAUUGUGGUAUUUUCAUAGUUUGAGGUCUUCUCUUAGAUUUAAGUCUUUCAUCCAUUUUGACUUCAUUUUUGAAUACGGCAAGAAACAGGGGUCUCAUUUUAUUCUUCUGCUUAUGGAUAAUCCAGUUUUUCCACUACCAUUUAUUUAAGAGGUUGUCCUUGUCCCAGUGUAUGUUAUAGGUACCUUUGUCAGAAAUGAGUUCAAUGUAGAUGUAUGGGCUUAUAUCUGGGCUCUCUUUUCUGUUCCAUUGGUCUUUGUGUCUGUUUUUAUGCCACUACUAUGUUGUAUUGGUUACAAAAGCUCUUUGCAAAAAUAACCUCAGUUUUGUUCUUUUUUGGCUCAGGAUUGCUUUAGCUUUUGGGUUCUUUUGUAGUUCUAUAUAAAUUAUAAGAUUUUUUCUUUUUCUAUGAAGAAUACCAUUGGUAUUUGAAUAGGGAUUACAUUGAAUCCGUAGAUUGCCUUGGGUAGUAUGAACAUUUUAACAAUAUUGCUUCUUCUACUCUAUGAAAUUUGAAUAUUUUUGCAUUUUAUUGUGUCCUCUUCAAUUAUUUUCAUCAGUGUUUUAUAGUUUUUAUUGUAGAGAUCAUUCACUUUGGUUAAGCUUAUUCUUUUGUCUUAUUUUACUUAUAGCUAUUGUAAGUGGGAUUACUUUCUUGAUUUCAUUUUUAGAUUGUUCACUGUUGGCAUAUAUGAGUACUACUGACUUUUGUGUGUUGAUUUUGUAUCCUGCAACUUUACUGCAUUUGUUUAUCAGUUCUAAUAGUUUUUCUAUACAGAAAAUCAUAACAUCUGCAAAGAAGGAUAAUUUAACUUCUUCUUUUCCAAUUCGGAUGCACUUUAUUUCUUUCUCAUGUCUGACUGCUCUAGCUAGGACUUCCAGUUUUAUGUUGAAGAACAGUGGUGAAAGCGGGCAUCUUUAUUUGGUUCCAGAUUUUAGAGAAAAUGCUUUCAGUUUUUCCCCAUUUAGUGUGAUUCUAGCUGCGGGUCUGUUGUAUAUGGCUUUUAUUGUAUUGAGGUAUGUUCCUUCUAUACCCAGUUUUUUGAGAGCUUUUAUUAUAAAAGGAUGUUAAAUUUAUCAAAUAUUUUUUCAGCAUCAACUGAAAUGAUCAUAUAGGUUUUUACAGUAGAUACAUUUAUUCCAGCUAUUUUUUUCUUUAUUUUGUUUCAAUAGUUUUUGGGAAACAGGUGGUUUUUGGUUACAUGGAUAAGUUCUUUAGUGGUGAUUUCUGAGAUCUUGGUGCACCCAUUACCUGAGCAGUGUACACUGUCUACAAUGUGUAGCCUUUUAUCCCUCACUAGCCUCCCACCCUUCCCUCUGAUUCCCCAACAUCCAUUAUAUCAUUCUGAUGCCCUUGUGUCCUCAUACUUUAGCUCCCAUUUAUAAGUGAGAACCUUCAAUAUUUAAUUUUUCAUUCCUGAAUUACUUCACUUAGAAUAAUGGUCUUCAACUCCAUCCAGGUUGCUGCUAAUACCAUUAUUUCAUUCCCUUUUAAGACUGGGUAGUAUUCCAUGGUGUGUGUGUGUGUGUGUGUGUGUGUGUGUUUGUGCAUGUAAUGCAUGGUGUGUGCCACUAUCACAGAGAGGAGAUACAGUGGUCAGUAAAUAUAAGCUCUUCAACUGGAUUGCCUAGGGGAUUCAUCAGAGAAGCAGUGUGAUCCACAGAGAGCAGAGAUGAGUGAGUCAGGGCAGAUUCCCAGCAGGAUUGGCACAAAGCCAAGGGGGGCUCCCCACUCUGGGGAAAGGGUGAGUGAAUGAGAGCCCCCAGGGACCCACACUUCUGCCAUGGACCUUAUCAGUACUGAACACAGGAGAGUCCCUCCCUCCCCUCCCCACAGGGCCUCCAGACUGACAUGGAGAGUUGUGCAAAGUCCGGACAGAGCUGCUGCUCAGACUCAUGUGGAAACCCAGGGAUCUUGGGUCCCUGAGUGCCCUGACUCCAGCAGCUGUAGUUCCACCAACAAGGGAGGUCAGGCUUUCUCACAUGCCCCCAGGAAAGGGGCUGCAUCCACAGUGCUGAGGAGCAGACAGACUGCAGACCUCGCCUCUGUUGCACCACUCCAGGCAAAGCUCUGUGACCUGGGACCCCAGGACAACUACCCUACCCCAACCUCAGCACUUGACUAUAGCAGUUCUGCAUUCCUCUAAGGUGGAGCUCCUAGGGGUAACUAGGAGGUCUACAGCUUUUGCCACUGCCACAGUCCCUGCCCAUACUGCCUUCAGGCUGGGAAGGGAGCAAAGAGCACAAGAGCUAUCACCUCGGUUGCUGUACAGAAAAGUGGCCAGACUGUUUUCCUCAUGGUUCCCUGCCCCUGCUACUCCUCACUGGGGAGGUCCUCCCAACCUUGGCCCGCAGAACAGCCACCCUACCCAUGCCUGAUCACUUCAGUCAGUGGAGGACCUGCAUAUCUCUGGGGUAGAAUUCCUAGAGACAACCCAUAACCCCUCGGCCUCUGCCACUGCAAUGGUGUCACCCUUGUUGCCCUUGGGCUGGAAAGGGAACAAAGACCCUGAUCACUUUGCUCACACCCCCAGCACAUCCCAGCUGCUCUGUGGAGAGCAGCCCAGUGUCUCUUCCCUUUCAGCUCCUAACCCCUUGCUUUUCACCAAGCUAGGCCCCCAGCUUGGGCCCACAGUGCAACAGCCCCAUCCUGAGCUGAACAUUCCAUUGGCAGCAGCUCUGUAUCUCUCUGGGGUGGAGUUCCCAGAGGCAACUUACAGCCCCUCUGCCAUUGUCACCAUAGUGGUACCUCCUUUUCUGCCACUGGGCUGGGAGUGAGCAAAGAACCAGAGUGCUUUACUUGCAACUCUAGCACACUGUGACCACCCUACACAGAAGAGGCCAGACUGUCUUCACCAUGAGCCCUCCCAUCUGCUCCCUGGCUUGGGCCUGCAAUGCAGCUACCCUACCCAGAUUAGAUUAGCAGCAGUUCUGUGUUUUCCUGUGGCAGAACCCCCAGAGACAAGUUUAAGACCCUUGCUGCUGCCACUGCCAAGGUCGCCACUCCUGCUGCCCCCAAGCUGGGGAGGGAACCGAAAGCCUGAGCUCACCCUGGGUUUGCCAUGCACAGCCUGGGAGUGCCAAGCCAAUAUUUGUGGCCAGCACUUGAGUGUGACAGAAGCCUCCACUCUCAGAACUCUGAGAGGUAGCACAGCUGCAAAUGUGAGGAAAUAUUGAGGAGGAGCACUGAUCAGUAAGAGCCUAUUUAUGGACACUACAUGUAAGUUCCAUCUACUGGAUCACAGCACAAACUUCAACGGGAAAAAAACUUGGCUAAUAUUCCUCCUUGUGAAACCAAUGACAAUAAUUCAGCCACAAAUAAAGACCCUACGCAAAGCUUCAGCCUUCCGCAAACAUCUAGAAAUGAAGCCAACUGAUGGUACUCAAAUGUCACCACAGUUAAAGAACAUCAGUCCACACAGAUGAGAAAGAACCAGUGCUAAAACUCUGGCAACUCUAAAAGCCAAAAUGUCCUCUUACAUAUAAAUGACUGUACUAGCUCCCCAGAUAUGGUUCUUAACCAGAAUAAAAUGGCUGAAAUGACAGAUGUAAAAUACAGAAUUUAGAUGGCAACAAAAAUCAAGAUUCAGAAGAAAGCUGAAAUCUAAUCCAAGGAAUCUAAGGAAUCCAGUAAAACAAUACACAAGCUGAAAGAUAAAGUAUCUGUUUUAAGAAAGAACAAAAGUGACCUGACAGAGAUGAAAAACUAACUAUAAGAACUUCAUAAAACAAUCAGAAUUAUUAGCAGCAAAAUAAACCAAGCUGAGGAAAGAAUCUCUGAGCUUGAAGACUGGUUCUUUGAAUUAACUCAGUCAGACAAAAGUAAAGUAAAAAUGUAUUUGAAAAAAUAAACAAAAUAUCUCGGAAGAAAUAUAGGACUAUGUAAAGAGACCAAAUUUGUGACUCAGUGGCAUCACUGAAAGAAAAGGAAGGAGAGUAAGCAACUUAGAAAACAUAUUUGAUGGUCUUGUUCAUGAAAAUCUCCCCAAACUCACCAGAGAGGUUGACACAGAAACCUGGGAAAUUCAGAGAUCUUUGCAAGAUACAAUACAUGAUGACCAUCUCCAAGACAAAAAGACAUCAGAUUCGCCAUAGUCACUGUGAAAUAAAAAAUACUAAAGUCAGGUAGAGAGAAAAGGCACCUAUAUAGGGAACCCUGUCUGCCUGACAGUGGAUCUUUCAGCAGAAACCCUAAAAGCCAGAAGAAAUUGAGGGCUCAUAUUCAGCAUCCAUAAAUAAAAGAAAUUACCAUUUUGGAGGCCAAGGUGGGUGGAUCACUUGAGCUCAGGAAUUCAAGACCAGCCUGGGCAACAUGGUGAAAUCUCGCCUCUACCAAAAAUU
rnacentral:lncRNA from 1 species